GAUGAACGCUGGCGGCGUGCCUCAAACAUGCAAGUCGAGCGGGGCUAUGUAAUAUCGCAAGGUAGAACAUAGCCUAGCGGCGAACGGGUGAGUAACACGUGGGUAACCUGCCUGGAAGACAGGGAUAACGAUUCGAAAGGGUCGCUAAUACCUGAUAAUAUCCUUUCAUCGCAUGGUGAUAGGAAGAAAGGGGAAACCCGCUUUCAGAUGGGCCCGCGUCCCAUCAGCUAGUUGGUAAGGUAAAGGCUUACCAAGGCGACGACGGGUAGCCGGUCUGAGAGGAUGUACGGCCACACUGGGACUGAGAUACGGCCCAGACUCCUACGGGAGGCAGCAGUUGGGAAUCUUAGGCAAUGGACGAAAGUCUGACCUAGCGACGCCGCGUGAGGGAAGAAGGCCUUCGGGUUGUAAACCUCUGUCAUGGGGGAAGAAGUAAGUGACGGUACCCCAAGAGGAAGCCCCUGCUAACUACGUGCCAGCAGCCGCGGUAAAACCCGCGUAUGU
rnacentral:rRNA from 1 species